rnacentral:rRNA from 1 species
GUGGCAGACGGGUGAGUAACACGGGGGAACGUACCUUUCGGUUCGGAAUAAUUCAGGGAAACUUGGACUAAUACCGGAUACGCCCUUCGGGGGAAAGAUUUAUCGCCAAUAGAUCGGCCCGCGUCUGAUUANCUAGUUGGUGAGGUAAUGGCUCACCAAGGCGACGAUCAGUAGCUGGUCUGAGAGGAUGAUCAGCCACAUUGGGACUGAGACACGGCCCAAACUCCUACGGGAGGCAGCAGUGGGGAAUAUUGGACAAUGGGCGCAAGCCUGAUCCAGCCAUGCCGCGUGAGUGAUGAAGGCCUUAGGGUUGUAAAGCUCUUUUUGUCCGGGAAGAUAAUGACUGUACCGGAAGAAUAAGCCCCGGCUAACUUCGUGCCAGCAGCCGCGGUAAUACGAAGGGGGCUAGCGUUGCUCGGAAUCACUGGGCGUAAAGGGCGCGUAAGGCGGACUCUUAAGUCGGGGGUGGAAAAGCCCAGGGCUCAACCCUGGAAUUGCCUUCCA